GACGAACGCUGGCGGCGUGCCUAAUACAUGCAAGUCGAGCGCAGGAAGCUGACGGAACUCUUCGGAGGGAAGGCAGUGGAAUGAGCGGCGGACGGGUGAGUAACACGUAAGGAACCUGCCUCAAGGAUUGGGAUAACUCCGAGAAAUCGGAGCUAAUACCGGAUAGUUCAACGGACCGCAUGGUCCGCUGAUGAAAGGCGCUUCGGCUUCACCUUGAGAUGGCCUUGCGGUGCAUUAGCUAGUUGGUGGGGUAACGGCCUACCAAGGCGACGAUGCAUAGCCGACCUGAGAGGGUGAUCGGCCACACUGGGACUGAGAAACGGCCCAGACUCCUACGGGAGGCAGCAGUAGGGAAUCUUCCACAAUGGACGAAAGUCUGAUGGAGCAACGCCGCGUGAGUGAUGAAGGUUUUCGGAUCGUAAAACUCUGUUGUAAGGGAAGAACACGUACGAGAGGGAAUGCUCGUACCUUGACGGUACCUUACGAGAAAGCCACGGCUAACUACGUGCCAGCCGCCGCCGUAA
rnacentral:rRNA from 1 species